CCCCGAGGAUGAAGAAGAAGAUCGGCGCUCGUGCAGCCCGAGACGCACAACACUGGAUGAUGUUGGGACGGCUACCCCUCGAAUGGAAGAGUAUGGUAGCCGUUGUGUCGUCGCAGGAGGGUCGUCCUGCUAGUUGACUUUGCUGCAGCAAGGAUACACUGUUGAGCCGUGGUUUCGUCAGCGCAGAACUAUGCCACAUCAACCUGGCAGGAUGAGACAGCGCCUUUAGGAGUUCCAGGAUAUCGAGAUCCGACGACAGAUGGUGUUGGAUGCACAGCACGUUUUUUCGAUGCAGGACAUGAGAGCCACCAACACCCUUGGGGCUAUGACAUAGCAGAUUUGAACGGCGCCAGAAGAGCCACAGAGUCUAGGAGACCUUAAUAUAGUGGACAUGACCAUAGCCAUACGUGCCUUACUGUCAUCGACCUAAUUGGUACGAUCGGCAAGAACACUGCCGAAAAUACCAGGACCAGCCCACGAUGUCGUCUUCAAACACCAGCUGCACACUCCACUGAGGUACAGGGAGUAACAAGGACAUCGCAGCAGAAGUACAAGGUGACUGUGCACACCUUUCGGUGCGUCUACUAAGCAGCCACGUCCACUAUGCAGCGAAUUCGAGCACCAGCAGUGCUGAAACCUCCUGCGCUGGAAGCCAACGGAACUCACGCACAACAGCCACGCAAGUUAUAGAAGAGGAUGCCGUCUAGCUGAUGUGUUGCUAGGCUUGAUAUGAAAGUCCAGAAUAAAUUGUGAUGCAUGCCACACACACACAUAUACACACGCAAGAAAAGUGUACUAGCCCAGCAAUGGUGUUGUCUUGGUAGCUCAGGGACCAUACCUGCAGCAUGCGACGAGAAACGGCUCUCAA